GUGAAUUGGCUGUGGAUGGAGGGGUGUGGUAGGCAGGCCAGAGCGAGUGUCCUUGACCUCUGCAUCGCAGUCAGAACCUGGUUUAUUUUAAAAAAAUGAACUUUUGGCAUCUAAGAGAAACAAUCAGACACUUUAAACAUGAAUGCAGCUCGUUUGGCAGAAUCAAAACAGCUUUAAAAGCACAACUUUUUGCACUGGGUGGGAUCAGACCUUUAAAAACAGCGGUCAGUGGAUUCAAUCACUCAUCAGUAUAAUCGCGUUUUCUCACAGCCACUACUUUUUUGCACAGUUUUAACUUUGCACAACUUGUUAAUAGGACUUGCAAGUUGGCAGCACUGUUUUUCUGUCCACAUACUCCAAAGACUCAUAUAAAAUAUAUUUCUACCACGCAGCAAGGGUUUGAUCUCGGAAGGGAAGCAGAGUGUCAGUGAAAUACCGCUAAAAAGAAGUACAGUUCAAAAAGUUUAAAAUUUAACUUUCUGUGCUCGCUCGGGUGAGCGUUUCAGCUAAUUACGCACAAAUCCCUCACGCUCACAGCUCCAAUCCACCGGCACCGCUGUCUCGGCAGAGGACAAAGAAAACAAAGGAGACUGACAAACAAACAUUGGUAUUUGCAGCGCCGUCAGCGCGAGCAGCCUCGGCGGUGCAGCCCUCUGAUCAGUGCUGGGAGAGGAGCUCCCCACCGAGCCGCCGCCGCCCCUGAACCACAGGUCAGUCCUUGGUGUGGGCUGAUUGGCACCAGAGAGUUGAUGUGGACCGGGGAUUUCGAAUUGAAGUCAGGACUCUGCCUGCCUGUCGCUAUAUGCUAAUAUUGGCCUUUAGACAAAUUCACAAAACAGCCUUCCAGGCUCAUGUUUGUUCACUUGCAUAAAUGCAUAUGAUUCUUAUUCUGCACCGAUUUACACCCCAACACGACAGUGCAAUGUUACAAAGUUCACACGUCUAUUAAUUCUGACGCAUCUGAAAAUAUUUCCGCAUUUAUUAGAUUUUAAAAAAUUAAAAAAGUGACC